rnacentral:rRNA from 1 species
UACGGAGGAUGCAAGCGUUAUCCGGAAUGAUUGGGCGUAAAGCGUCCGCAGGUGGUGUUGUAAGUCUGUUGUUAAAGCGUGCGGCUUAACCGCAUAAGGGCGAUGGAAACUACAGGACUAGAGUGCGUUAGGGGUAGAGGGAAUUCCUGGUGUAGCGGUGAAAUGCGUAGAGAUCAGGAAGAACACCGGUGGCGAAAGCGCUCUACUAUGCCGCAACUGACACUGAGGGACGAAAGCUAGGGGAGCGAAUGGG